rnacentral:rRNA from 1 species
UCUAGCCCGAUACUGACACUGAGACACGAAAGCGUGGGUAGCGAACGGGAUUAGAUACCCCGGUAGUCCACGCCGUAAACGAUGGGUACUAGGUGCAGGUGGUAUCGAUCCCUUCUGUGCCGAAGCAAACGCGUUAAGUACCCCGCCUGGGGAGUACGGCCGCAAGGCUAAAACUCAAAGGAAUAGACGGGGGCCCGCACAAGCGGUGGAGCAUGUGGUCUAAUACGACGCAACGCGUAGAACCUUACCAGGGCUUGACAUGCUGGUGGUACUGGCUCCGAAAGGAGACAGGACCCUUCGGGGAGCCAACACAGAUGUUGCACGGCUGUCGUCAGCUCGUGUCGUGAGAUGUUGGGUUAAGUCCCGCAACGAGCGCAACCCUUGUCCUUAGUUGCCAGCAGGUAAUGCUGGGGACUCUAAGGAGACUGCCUGUGAUAAGCAGGCGGAAGGUGAGGAUGACGUCAAGUCAUUGUGGCUCUUACGCCCUGGGCUACACACGUGCUACAAUGGUCGAUACAAUGGGUAGCAAUGCCGCGAGGUGGAGCCAAUCCCCAAAAGUCGGCCUCAGUUCGGAUUGGAGUCUGCAACUCGACUCCAUGAAGUCGGAAUCGCUAGUAAUGGCGCAUCAGCUCCGGCGCCGUGAAUACGUUCCCGGGCAUUGUACUCACCGCCCGUCACAUCACCUGAGUUGAUUGCACCUGAAG